AUCUGUCAUGCCAAUCUGCUUCUCCUCGUCUAACUCAUCUGGUCCUACGGAAGAAGUUCUCGGUGUUUUCUUGAAGUUGCAACAACAGCAGCAGAUCUCUUUCAGCCUGACGAAGGCCAGAGAAAGCUUGUCGUCCUCAUCAUCAUUAUCAGACUUUUUCAAAGAUUCACUUCCAAAAGCAUUCAGAAGCAAGGCAAGGAAAAGAUUCAGGACCUACAUCAAACAUGGAUCAAAUUGUUUUUAUAAACAAAUGAAUUCACAGUGUGGAUUAAGUGAGAGCCUCUGAGGAGGUAUUACCGAGGCUCACUCUGCUCGUAAAUGUUUACAACGAUCACGUCAUGUGAUAUACUUACAAUGAAGUAUCCGAACACGAGAGUGGGUAAAAAGACCACCAUGCACAGUUCAUCAGCCGCUCGCAUACAGUUCCACAACUCUUCAAUCCACUCUCCACAGAGGAUACGGAAAAUCAACAUCAGAGCAUGGAAAAAGGAGUUGAAAUUCCACCUGGUUUUAUUGAAAGCAUGUAUUAGUGCAACACUUUAAUUCCCUAGUAUAUGAACAGAAAUAUUCCAUCCUACUGCAUGUACAAUGUACAUGUUAACCUUCAAUGUACUGAAAUGUUCAACCUUCAUACAACAUCAAGCAAAUUUAUCACAACAAUAUUUCCAAAUCUUUUGGUGGGUGGAUCCAAUUUUCAAUUGCAUUGUAGCCUGGUUUAUUUGCAGGAUUGCAGGCAACUCUAUGUCAAUCUUUCAUUAUGUGUUGUAGGGGGUCAGAUUGCAUAAUCAUACUUGUGUGAUGCAUAUGUUCUUCAUGUUUUUUUCUUAGUCAUUCUGACCCCCACUAGGUUGAAUUUUUAUUAAAUAUAACUCCAUCAAAUUUCAAAAUAAAUAAAUUUUUUAAAAAUUAA